AGAGUUUGAUCAUGGCUCAGAUUGAACGCUGGCGGCAGGCCUAACACAUGCAAGUCGAGCGGUAGCACAGAGAGCUUGCUCUCGGGUGACGAGCGGCGGACGGGUGAGUAAUGUCUGGGAAACUGCCUGAUGGAGGGGGAUAACUACUGGAAACGGUAGCUAAUACCGCAUAACGUCGCAAGACCAAAGUGGGGGACCUUCGGGCCUCAUGCCAUCAGAUGUGCCCAGAUGGGAUUAGCUAGUAGGUGGGGUAACGGCUCACCUAGGCGACGAUCCCUAGCUGGUCUGAGAGGAUGACCAGCCACACUGGAACUGAGACACGGUCCAGACUCCUACGGGAGGCAGCAGUGGGGAAUAUUGCACAAUGGGCGCAAGCCUGAUGCAGCCAUGCCGCGUGUGUGAAGAAGGCCUUCGGGUUGUAAAGCACUUUCAGCGGGGAGGAAGGCGNNNNNNNNNNNNNNNCGAUUGACGUUACCCGCAGAAGAAGCACCGGCUAACUCCGUGCCAGCAGCCGCGGUAAUACGGAGGGUGCAAGCGUUAAUCGGAAUUACUGGGCGUAAAGCGCACGCAGGCGGUCUGUCAAGUCGGAUGUGAAAUCCCCGGGCUCAACCUGGGAACUGCAUUCGAAACUGGCAGGCUAGAGUCUUGUAGAGGGGGGUAGAAUUCCAGGUGUAGCGGUGAAAUGCGUAGAGAUCUGGAGGAAUACCGGUGGCGAAGGCGGCCCCCUGGACAAAGACUGACGCUCAGGUGCGAAAGCGUGGGGAGCAAACAGGAUUAGAUACCCUGGUAGUCCACGCCGUAAACGAUGUCGAUUUGGAGGUUGUGCCCUUGAGGCGUGGCUUCCGGAGCUAACGCGUUAAAUCGACCGCCUGGGGAGUACGGCCGCAAGGUUAAAACUCAAAUGAAUUGACGGGGGCCCGCACAAGCGGUGGAGCAUGUGGUUUAAUUCGAUGCAACGCGAAGAACCUUACCUGGUCUUGACAUCCACAGAACUUUCCAGAGAUGGAUUGGUGCCUUCGGGAACUGUGAGACAGGUGCUGCAUGGCUGUCGUCAGCUCGUGUUGUGAAAUGUUGGGUUAAGUCCCGCAACGAGCGCAACCCUUAUCCUUUGUUGCCAGCGGUCCGGCCGGGAACUCAAAGGAGACUGCCAGUGAUAAACUGGAGGAAGGUGGGGAUGACGUCAAGUCAUCAUGGCCCUUACGACCAGGGCUACACACGUGCUACAAUGGCAUAUACAAAGAGAAGCGACCUCGCGAGAGCAAGCGGACCUCAUAAAGUAUGUCGUAGUCCGGAUUGGAGUCUGCAACUCGACUCCAUGAAGUCGGAAUCGCUAGUAAUCGUAGAUCAGAAUGCUACGGUGAAUACGUUCCCGGGCCUUGUACACACCGCCCGUCACACCAUGGGAGUGGGUUGCAAAAGAAGUAGGUAGCUUAACCUUCGGGAGGGCGCUUACCACUUUGUGAUUCAUGACUGGGGUGAAGUCGUAACAAGGUAACCGUAGGGGAACCUGCGGUUGGAUCACCU
rnacentral:rRNA from 1 species